rnacentral:rRNA from 1 species
GAUGAACGCUGGCGGCGUGCCUAAUACAUGCAAGUCGAGCGAACGGACGAGAAGCUUGCUUCUCUGAUGUUAGCGGCGGACGGGCGAGUAACACGUGGAUAACCUACCUAUAAGACUGGGAUAACUUCGGGAAACCGGAGCUAAUACCGUAUAAUAUUUUGAACCGCAUGGUUCAAAAGUGAAAGACGGUCUUGCUGUCACUUAUAGAUGGAUCGGCGCUGCAUUAGCUAGUUGGUAAGGUAACGGCUUACCAAGGCAACGAUGCAUAGCCGACCUGAGAGGGUGAUCGGCCACACUGGAACUGAGACACGGUCCAGACUACUACGGGAGGCAGCAGUAGGGAAUCUUCCGCAAUGGGCGAAAGCCUGACGGAGCAAGGCCGCGUGAGUGAUGAAGGUCUUCGGAUCGUAAAACUCUGUUAUUAGGGAAGAACAGAUGUGUAAGUAACUGUGCACAUCUUGACGGUACCUAAUCAGAAAGCCACGGCUAACUACGUG